GAUGAACGCUGGCGGCGUGCUAAUACAUGCAAGUAGAACGCUGAAGGAGGAGCUUGCUCUUCUGGAUGAGUUGCGAACGGGUGAGUAACGCGUAGGUAACCUGCCUGGUAGCGGGGGAUAACUAUUGGAAACGAUAGCUAAUACCGCAUGACAACAGUUAUUGCAUGAUAACUGUUUAAAAGGGGCAACUGCUCCACUACCAGAUGGACCUGCGUUGUAUUAGCUAGUUGGUGAGGUAACGGCUCACCAAGGCGACGAUACAUAGCCGACCUGAGAGGGUGAUCGGCCACACUGAGACUGAGACACGGCCCAGACUCCUACGGGAGGCAGCAGUAGGGAAUCUUCGGCAAUGGACGGAAGUCUGACCGAGCAACGCCGCGUGAGUGAAGAAGGUUUUCGGAUCGUAAAGCUCUGUUGUAAGAGAAGAACGAGUGUGAGAGUGGAAAGUUCACACUGUGACGGUAUCUUACCAGAAAGGGACGGCUAACUACGUGCCAGCAGCCGCGGUAAUACGUAGGUCCCGAGCGUUAUCCGGAUUUAUUGGGCGUAAAGCGAGCGCAGGCGGUUAGAUAAGUCUGAAGUUAAAGGCUGUGGCUUAACCAUAGUACGCUUUGGAAACUGUUUAACUUGAGUGCAAGAGGGGAGAGUGGAAUUCCAUGUGUAGCGGUGAAAUGCGUAGAUAUAUGGAGGAACACCGGUGGCGAAAGCGGCUCUCUGGCUUGUAACUGACGCUGAGGCUCGAAAGCGUGGGGAGCAAACAGG
rnacentral:rRNA from 1 species